rnacentral:rRNA from 1 species
CCUACGGGCGGCAGCAGUAGGGAAUAUUGCUCAAUGGGCGAAACCCUGAAGCAGCAACGCCGCGUGGGGGAUGAAGGUUUUCGGAGUGUAAACUCCUUUUGGUAGAGAAGAUAAUGACGGUAUCUAACGAAUAAGCACCGGCUAACUACGUGCCAGCAGCCGCGGUAAAACGGAGGGUGCAAGCGUUACUCGGAAUCACUGGGCGUAAAGAGCGCGUAGGCGGGAUAGCAAGUGAGAUGUGAAAUUCUAUGGCUUAACCAUAGAACUGCAUUUGAAACUGUUAUUCUUGAGUAUGGGAGAGGUAGGUGGAAUUCUUGGUGUAGGGGUAAAAUCCGUAGAGAUCACGCGGAACACCCAUUGCGAAGGCGACCUGCCAGAACAUAACUGACGCUGAUGCGCGAAAGCGUGGGGAGCAAACAGGAUUAGAUACCCCAGUAGUC